rnacentral:sRNA from 1 species
GUCGUGAGAUGUUGGGUUAAGUCCCGCAACGAGCGCAACCCUUGUCCCUAGUUGCUACGCAAGGGCACUCUAGGGAGACUGCCGGUGACAAACCGGAGGAAGGUGGGGAUGACGUCAAGUCCUCAUGGCCCUUAUGGGUAGGGCCUCACACGUCAUACAAUGGCCGGUACAGAGGGUUGCCAAACCGCGAGGUGGAGCCAAUCCCAGAAAGCCGGUCGUAGUCCGGAUUGCAGUCUGCAACUCGACUGCAUGAAGUCGGAAUCGCUAGUAAUCGCGGAUCAGCAUGUCGCGGUGAAUACGUUCCCGGGUCUUGUACACACCGCCCGUCACACCAUGGGAGUGGGGUGCACCAGAAGUAGGUAGGCUAACCGCAAGGAGGCCGCUUACCACGGUACGCUUCAUGACUGGGGUGAAGUCGUAACAAGGUAGCCGUAUCGGAAGGUGCGGCUGGAUCACCUCCUUUCUCGGAAGCAGGGAUCAGGGAUUCAGUAUCAGGGCUCACGCUCGAGUGCUGGACACCUGCAUCCCCAACCUCUUCCAAGUGCCCACGCUUAUCGGUUGUUGCCGCAUGGAGUCAUGGCGGUCAUUUGAUGACGAACUCGGGGCCUGUAGCUCAGUUGGUUAGAGCACCGUCUUGAUAAGGCGGGGGUCGAUGGUUCGAAUCCAUCCAGACCCACCAGGGUGCGAGAUGGCGCGGAUCGCGAGCCAAUCGAGGCGCGAGGCGCCGACGUGUACGAGGCCGUACACGAGGCGCCGACCAACAAAGAGAGUGGCGAAGUCGCGAGUCAGGCGCGGCGCGAGGCCUCGACGUGUACAAGGGCGUACAUGAGAGGCCGAGCAACAAAGCAUGGCGAAGCGAGAGGGGCUGUAGCUCAGUUGGGAGAGCGCCUGCUUUGCAAGCAGGAGGUCAUCGGUUCGAUCCCGUUCAGCUCCACCAACAACCGUGGGAGGUCGAUCGUAGAUAUCCGUCAAACCCGGAGAGACUGCAAGCAAGCGUAGUCGUUUGCUUCUGGUCUUUCGGCCAGUCCGACUCAGUUGUGUUGAGGUUCGGUUGUUCUUUAACAAAACGGAAGAAGUAAAGCGCACACGACGGAGCAUUGUCGUGUGCUGGGUUAGAUUGUAUCGACCCGACCUCCCUCGAGUUCUGGGGGGUUGGGUAUCGCAAACACCCGUGACGCAGUGUUUAGCGUUAUGGGAUCAAGCGACUAAGUGCAUGUGGUGGAUGCCUUGGCGAUCACAGGCGAUGAAGGACGUGGCAGCCUACGUUAAGCCCCGGGGAGCUGGCAAACGAGCUUUGAUCCGGGGAUGU